CCUACGGGUGGCUGCAGUGAGGAAUAUUGGUCAAUGGGCGCGAGCCUGAACCAGCAAUGCCGCGUGAAGGAAGAAGGCUUUCGGGUUGGAAAAUUCUUUGACAGGGGAAGAGCAGAAGACGGUACCCUGAAAAAAAGCUAUGGCUAAAGACGUGCCAGCAGCUGCGGUAAUACGAAGGUGGCAAGCGUUGUCCGGAUUUACUGGGUGUAAAGGGCGUGUAGCCGGGAAGGCAAGUGAGAUGUGAAAUCUGGAGGCUCAACCUCCAAAUUGCAUUUGAAACUGUUUUUCUUGAGUACUGGAGAGGCAGGCGGAAUUCGUGGUGUAGCGGUGAAAUGCGUAGAUAUAAGGAGGAACACCAGUGGCGAAGGCAGUCUGCUGGACAGCAACUGACGGUGAGGCGCGAAAGCGUGGGGAGCAAACAGGAUUAGAUACCCGUGUAGUC
rnacentral:rRNA from 1 species